GAGUGUCCACUCUGAGGACUUAGGCUGGAUUUUAACCCAUUUUCCCGAAGGGAAGUGCUUGGAGCCAUCUUAUAUGAUUCAAGGUGCAUAUUGAAUCUGAGAGGGACAAAACCAGCAGUAACAGAAGAACUUUCUGAGUUGUGAAGGCCAAAAGGAAUUAAUCACUGAAGGGAAAUGGGCUCUCUCAUUUACACAGAGGGUGAGAGAGAGAGAAAAUAAAGUGCUUUAGAAUGGAGAAGGGAAAGAAAGGCCCUUGCAGUGUCCCUGUCAGUACCAAAAUAAAUCUUUGAAGAGAGAGGGGAAACAAUAGCAGCAGAAAGCUGCCCGAGCAAUGGCAGAGCAGAGCCUUAGGAGCAGAUCUCUUCCUGGCUAAUGGCUGCCAGCUCUGGACCUUUGUGGUUAGUUUGCUUCGGUGAACCCAGUAACCGCUGGCAUGGUCUUGUCUUUCUCAUCCGUGGAUUGCUUGCUAAACAGGCGGAGUGGUGAUACUGAAGGCAGUAUCCUAGCAGGAAUGUAGCUAAGCCAUUGGAUCAAAUACUGGAUUUGAAUCAAACCAGUCCUGUUUUGGAGAAACUUAACUGUCCGGUGGGCUGGAAAAAGCUCUGGGGAACCUUGACCAAGGUUGCUAGAGAGCAAAGAAGUAGAGAGUUUCCAUCCAAAAAGGAUCCAGGCAACAUCUCCUCACAGUAAACAGAAUAAAGCCUUGCAGUUUUGUGAUCCUUAAGCAUAAGGGGAGUGGAUGAGACUGCUGGGAGCAGGCCGACAGCCCUGGGAGGUUUUACACUGACAGAGCACAUCUGUAGAGGAGAGCUGCCAGGCUGUCAUGUAAACCCAUUGGGGGACCAUCUCACACGUCAAGCACAUGCUGUCUGCACCUCCGGGGCUCCUCACACCUUCCUGGAUAUGACUGCAGGCACGGAAGCAGUGCUCAGGAGCUUGGGCUGGUCUUCCUCCCACCAUCUGUGAUGGAUGAGAUCAAUGUGGAGCUCCCACCCUCCUGCUCUCCAAAGAGCCAAUGUCAUGGGCAAUUUGAGGAAGGGACAAAGCAGAUAACAACCCUCCCCUACAGUUUUCACAAAACCUCAUGCCCUGGAUUCACCAAUUCCAGUAUGGACACUUGUCUGCAGACUGGCUGAAAAAGGACUGUGAUAAUUUGUUUAUGCUUUUGAGCAUCAGGUUUGUAGCAAGGAUGGUCCUAUUCUUAUGGAAACGGAAAGGCAGGUGCUUGUACCCGGGGGACCACCAUGCUGACUGCCAGAGAUUCCUGGCACUGGCUACUACGGAGUUAAGCAGCCAGGCUGGAGUGUGCAAACAAACAUCGAGACCUGUGCUAACAGCCCUGCUUUGUGCUAGUGGGAAGCACAGGCUCCAACUUCUUCCGAUUUCUCACCUGUCCAGACUGGUACAGAGGGAAAAUGCCUCUUGGAGUUGCAGAGAAAACCACACCUAUUUACUGUGGAUUCCCCAGGGCCCUCCUGUGGGGUAUUAACCCUUCAGCCCCAGGGCCCACAGUCUGCCUUUGGCAUGGAGAAUUCCCCACCAUCCCUGGGGAAAUCAGCCCUUCUCCCUCUGGUGUAGGGGUUUCGCCUGUUUGUGGCCCAGGGCAUUGGCCCAUCCACUCUCUAGAGCAAGUCACAGCUUUCUCUUUCCUCCCCAUCUGUACAGUUAUCUCUGCCCUUUCCAUAACUGUGCAAUGUGGCUCUUUCUGCAGGAGCUGGGCUUCCUGACCCAGCUCCUUCCCCCAGAAAGCAGAACUUGCACUGCUGUUUCUGGGUUGGAUCUGUGAUCAUGUCUCUGUGUUUGUCUCAGACCCCACCAAGUUUCCCUGAGAUACCAGCUCAUCCCUCCCCCUUGAAAUGUCCUUGCUCUCUUCAGGCUUCUUCCUGGUCUCACUGUUUGCUUUCCCUCUUUUCCCUGGUUUCUGAGGUUUCUCGGAAGGAAUCCCGUGCUCUGGCCUCCUCAGGCUGGAGUGUUGUGUUGUUGUUUUUCCUUUCGUCGCUAUGGGCAGGGAUUUUGAAUACUGAGCCAAGGAGAGGGAGGGAAGGAUGGAGGCAGUGAAAGAAGGAGGGAGUACAAGGGGAGGGAUGAAGAAAGCCAGGGAAGUGAGAAAGCAAAGUGUGCAGGGGAGCGGGGUAAGGAAGAGGUGGUGGAGGAAUGAAAUGGGGAAGGAAGAGAGAGGGCAUUAUGAAGAGGAAGAGUUUUGGAUAAAUAUCCAGGAGAGCUUUUUCAUUGUUUCUUUUAUUGAUAACACUAUUGCAGCAGACAGCAAUAUCCAGAGCAAGGCAGGGAACAUCCCCCCCCCAUCUGUCUAGGACACAAGGCAUGAGAGGUUAUUCAAGGCAAAGAGAUCCUUCAGAAAAUGAACAUCCAAGCCUAGAGCAGCCAGUAGGAGCACAGACUACAGCAGGAAAAAUGCUAGAUGGCAGUUUGGUGGGUAAGGAGAGAAUGUGAAGCACAAAGGUGCAGAAAAUAU